AUUAUUGUAGCGUCAUUUAGCCGCACGAAUGGUGCAUGUCCCUAUGGAAAUUGAAGCAAGGCGAACAAUCAAUACAACGAACUAGAAAAAGAGCCUUGAGAAACAAGGUACAGAAGACUUACUGUGGUAAUAAGUUUAAUCUAUUUUAUCUUGUAAUUUUUAUAACUGUUAACUGAUUAUAAAACCUAAUAAAACACGAUAAAAUACCAUACAUGUAGAAUACCUACUUACAAUGGUAGUAAGGUAAAUAAAAUGUUUAUAUAAGUUUAACAAACACCAUUUUGCAGCAAUCAUUCAAUUGACACAAACACUUAUCAUGUGAUCUAUGAAAAAGUGAAUGACAAGAAAUUUUAUUUGAUAAUGUAGCAGUUUCAUUAUUAGUAUUAAUAAAAAAACUAUCACUGUUAUUGCACUGCAUUAAAUAAAGUUCUCUUUUGUAUAUUUCCAUCAAAUUGUAUUUACCCUAUCAUGAAAAGAGAUAGAUCAAUGAUUUAAAAAAAAAAAAUAAAGAUUAGGAGUAAUUUAGUAUCUAUGAAAAAUGGGGUAAAUCUACAAACUAUAAAUAAAAUACCAAGCUGUACAAUGAAUGUAUAAACAAUAUUUGUGUGAUGUUCAUAACUAUAAGUGAUGAAUUAGUAAAAUAGUUUUCUUUAGGAAUAACCUUGAAUACAAUAGUUACAAUUUUGACAUUACAUUAACGUAACAAGUUUAUGUUAUAUACACUUAUGUUGGACAUUUUUAUUAUACACAGUACUAGGUGUAAUAUUCAAGUGUUGUAUAACUUAGGAAAUAGGACAUGAUUCAUUUGGGUACAAUAUAAGUGACAUUAAGACAGGAAAUAUAUAGUGAUGAAUGGUGAAUAGGCAAAGCUUGCAAUGUUUGCCAACAUUUACUUCAAAUAAACCACUUAUUUAUAGCAUUGCAGUACAUUCUGCCUAAAAUGUUUCUUUCAACAGGUAAAAUUAACUAGUUAUUAUUAUGAUAUAAGACUAAAUCAUUCAAUUAUGAUUAUGUAUAAAUUUUAAAAAUGUAUAUCAGACUAGGAUUGUUUUAAAGAAAAACAAGUGUUUUAAUAACUGUUGCCAGUUGUAAGGUGUAGGUGUAAGGUUAUUUACAUAUGUAAAUAUUAAUAAGUCACAUUAAGUACAAUAAAUUGUUGUUUAUCUACCACAAUUAUUUAUGAAAAACUUCUUGAUAAAAGCUGUUAUCUAGUGUUAAGCUUAAUUAAUCUGUGUUAGAAACUAUAUUUGUAUUUAUAUUUAACUUUAUUUGCUUUUAAAUUUUAUUAAAGGAAAUAUUUUCAAUAUGUACCUUUUGCAAUUCCUUUUCGAUUUCGCCGGCACGGGUUACUAGGGGUCCUCGAACCGCGUAUUCUAACUUUACAAUGUUAGGGUUUAUGUUAUCCAUAGUGAUUGCCUUUGAAGCCAUGGUUCUAGUAUUUGGGUAUGUAU